CAGCCGCCGCGGGAUUACAGAGGGUGCGAGCGUUAAUCGGAUUUACUGGGCGUAAAGCGUGCGUAGGCGGCUUUUUAAGUCGGAUGUGAAAUCCCUGAGCUUAACUUAGGAAUUGCAUUCGAUACUGGGAAGCUAGAGUAUGGGAGAGGAUGGUAGAAUUCCAGGUGUAGCGGUGAAAUGCGUAGAGAUCUGGAGGAAUACCGAUGGCGAAGGCAGCCAUCUGGCCUAAUACUGACGCUGAGGUACGAAAGCAUGGGGAGCAAACAGGAUUAGAUACCCCCGUAGUCCCUGUCUCUUAUAC
rnacentral:rRNA from 1 species